AGAAUCAACGCUGGCGGCGUGCCUAACACAUGCAAGUCGAACGAGAAAGUGGAGCAAUCCAUGAGUAAAGUGGCGCACGGGUGAGUAACACGUGACUAACCUACCCUCGAGUGGGGAAUAACUUCGGGAAACCGAGGCUAAUACCGCAUAAAACCUAAGGGUCAAAGGAGCAAUCCGUUUGAGGAGGGGGUCGCGGCAGAUUAGUUAGUUGGCGGGGUAAUGGCCCACCAAGACGAUGAUCUGUAUCCGGUCUGAGAGGGCGCACGGACACACUGGAACUGAAACACGGUCCAGACUCCUACGGGAGGCAGCAGUGGGGAAUUUGCGCAAUGGGGGAAACCCUGACGCAGCAACGCCGCGUGGAGGAUGAAAUCCCUUGGGAUGUAAACUCCUUUCGAUCGGGAAGAUAAUGACGGUACCGGAGAAGAAGCCCGGCUAACUCGCGCCAGCAGCCGC
rnacentral:rRNA from 1 species